AGACGUCUACAUUAGAUACCCGCGUAGUCCCAGCCGUAAACUAUGCGCGUUAGGUGUAUCGGUGACCACGAGUCACCGAGGUGCCGAAGGGAAACCGUGAAACGUGCCGCCUGGGAAGUACGGUCGCAAGGCUGAAACUUAAAGGAAUUGACGGGGGAGCACCACAACGGGUGGAGCCUGCGGUUUAAUUGGACUCAACGCCGGGAAGCUCACCGGAUAAGACAGCGGAAUGAUUGCCGGGCUGAAGACUCUGCAUGACUAGCUG
rnacentral:rRNA from 1 species